CAGCCGCCGCGGUAAUACGUAGGUGGCAAGCGUUGUCCGGAAUUAUUGGGCGUAAAGGGCUCGCAGGCGGUUUCUUAAGUCUGAUGUGAAAGCCCCCGGCUCAACCGGGGAGGGUCAUUGGAAACUGGGAAACUUGAGUGCAGAAGAGGAGAGUGGAAUUCCACGUGUAGCGGUGAAAUGCGUAGAGAUGUGGAGGAACACCAGUGGCGAAGGCGACUCUCUGGUCUGUAACUGACGCUGAGGAGCGAAAGCGUAAGGAGCGAACAGGAUUAGAGACCCGCGUAGUCCCUGUCUCUUAUAC
rnacentral:rRNA from 1 species